GCAGCGACUCAACAACGAAAUCACGACGAUUAUUUGUCGCUGUCGCCGUAAAAAGUCGCGUAGAUUUGGGGGAGCCUUGAUACUAGAUACAAUCUUUUCCGACUCAGCAAUCUGCGUGGUAGACAUUCGUUAAGAAAAAAAAACAGAUCGUACAGUGACACCGGUCGAAAAAGAUCAAAAUGGCUUCCGACUCCCAACGGAAAAGAAAACCAAUCGGAGAUCGUAGAUCAAAAGUUUUACAGCACUUUACUGGAGUGGAAGCAGGGUUCGUUUGCUGCGCAGAACCUUCCUGUGAACAUUGCCGCAGGACAUGUCGGAAAUUUGAAACGGCACCUCUUCCUCAAGCACCGAGAUGAAGCGCUCCAGUGUAGUUUGAAUCCCACGAAGUAGCCAGCAGAGCUUUUUAGUAAAAUACAAGGCAAAAUGAGCAAGGACGCCUAUUUGAAAAACAUCACCAAGAUGGUUAUGGUAGGGAAACUAUCAUUCCGCAAUCUCGAUGUCCCUGGCUUAUCCGACAUCCUUGCCAUGACGAACGGCAUGUUUAGCGCAACCCCCCCGCGAAGUGACAGAUAACGCAAUUUUCACGUACCUACUUGCAACGUAAACAAUGGGGCCAUCCACCGCUGCCGGCACAAUUUUUCACUAUGGCAGAUCGAAAUUUUGUUACGUUGUUGACGGGUGCAAAACAACGAAUAGAAUGAAAUGAAAUAAGGGCGAGUCUGAUAUUUUCGUCUGCCAAUGGAAAUAAAUUUAAUAAAAUCACCAAGU